GAAGGGCUGGAGCUCAGUGAUAGAGCAUCUGCUUUGUAUGCAGAAAGGUUCAAUCCCUGGCAUCUUCA